UCGGGAAUUUUGGGCAAUGGGCGAAAGCCUGACCCAGCAACGCCGCGUGAAGGAUGAAGUAUUUCGGUAUGUAAACUUCGUAAGAAUAGGAAGAAUAAAUGACGGUACUAUUUGUAAGGUCCGGCUAACUACGUGCCAGCAGCCGCGGUAAUACGUAGGGACCAAGCGUUGUUCGGAUUUACUGGGCGUAAAGGGCGCGUAGGCGGUAAUUCAAGUCAUCUGUGAAAUCUCCGGGCUUAACUCGGAACGGUCAGAUGAUACUGCUUUGCUAGAGUGCAGAAGGGGCAAUCGGAAUUCUUGGUGUAGCGGUGAAAUGCGUAGAUAUCAAGAGGAACACCUGAGGUGAAGACGGGUUGCUGGGCUGACACUGACGCUGAGGCGCGAAAGCCAGGGGAGCAAACGGGAUUAGAUACCCCAGUAGUCCCUGAGCGGGCUGGCAAGGCGCAU
rnacentral:rRNA from 1 species